rnacentral:lncRNA from 1 species
UCCUGAGUCAACGCCUAACCGUACGUCCGCGGCGACACUUCGCGCGCGCCAUGUGAACUUCUGUGUUAACUCGAAUCAUGAAUUAAAUUAACUCGAUAGUAAAAUAUUUGAGUUCGUGCGGUAGACGUGUUAGUUCGCGAUAAUAAUUGGACACGAUGGACAGUGUGAGAACUCUCAACUCGUGGUCGCAGCCGACGUAGUACGCGAGGUCGGCGCACGUGGUCGCCUUGAGUUCGAGUCCAUUUGCGGCGUACUUACAAAGAAGAGUAAUGAAAACCGGUACAAGAACAUGCGCCUUGAACCAUCAAAAUGAGUCAUCAGUUUACGGUAAAUAAAGCUUCGAGGAAGACGAGAAUAUAAAAUAAUUAGACGCCGUAAUUGGCAUCAGACCCGUCUGAUUUGACAUUCCAUUUUGACCGGAAACAAUCAGCAAGUUUUCACAAGGAUGUGCAAAGACAAUAAAGCUUGCGGAUAUCCAGUGACGAGCGGCCUGGCUGACGAACGUAAUCCACGGUUGAAGAUAGCAACCCAGAUGCAGAUUCGUGGAGAAGCUGAAGGUUCGGCCUGCGCCAAUUUAUGACUUUUUGUUUCAUAAUUCUAUCUUACCUGCCUUAUGGCAGGUAAGAUAGAAUUUCUACAUUUUGAUUUUCAUUUAAGUAAGUACACAUUUUUAUACCUAACUAGCGGACGCCCGCGACUUUGUCCGCGUGGAAUUCAGUUUUCACAAAUCCCACGGGAACUAU